rnacentral:rRNA from 1 species
GGACUACUGGGGUAUCUAAUCCUGUUCGCUCCCCUAGCUUUCGCACCUGAGCGUCAGGAACUUGCCAGGAGACUGCCUUCGCUUUCGGUGUUCCUCCGGAUCUCUACGCAUUUCACCGCUCCACCCGGAAUUCCGUCUCCCCCUCAAGUCCUCAAGUCCGCCAGUUUUCGAAGACCUUUUCCGGUUAAGCCGGAAACUGUCACUCCGAACUUGGCAGACCGCCUGCGUGCGCUUUACGCCCAAUAAAUCCGGACAACGCUUGCCCCCUACGUAUUACCGCGGCUGCUGGCAC